rnacentral:sRNA from 1 species
AUGCUUGCUAUUCAGAAUCUACAAUUUUUUUAGCGUUUGAAGCACGCGAUUUAAUAAUUUAAUGUAUGCCAACUGUUUGAUUAAAAUCAUGGCAAUAUUCUUUUAUCAAAGUAUUUAUGUUUUCAUUUUUUUUUUAACAUUCACGAUUUGGUUUUUAUAAAAAUCUUUUUUUAAAUGCUACAUGUACAUUUGGACUUUUUUAAUGUGAAAACUAAAAACAGUCAGUUUUAAUUUUCUUCCAACAGAUAUGUUUUUGGACAUUAUAUAUUCAUAUAUCGGUAUGUUUAAUUGAAAUAUUUUCUUUAAAGUAUAUUAAUUAUUAUUCUAUAUUACAAUGUCAUGUGGGUCUUGAUAUAUUUCAGUGAACUAAAUUGGUGCAAAUAAUAUCAGCAAUCUUUAAUAAUCUGACUUACUGAUGUUUGUUUCAAGGUUGUUUUAAAAUGUACCAAUUUAGGGGCAACUAUUUAGAAUUAAAAUUUUACCAGCAAAGAGCACUCUGAUAUCUUUUAUUUAAAAAAAAAACAACUUUAAUAUGUACUUUUAAGUUAUGCUUUUAAUAACCAACUUGUGAGAUACUAAGAUUUCUAUUUCGAACAAGACAAGCUUUAAAGUACAUGUAUAUCUAAAGUUAAGUUAGCAAUGUUCAGUGGGUCGGUCACACAUCCGCUACUAAUGCUGAAACUUUUUUUGGCUGAAAUAUCUUUUAAACAAUAUGUAAGCCGAGAUCUCGGACAUCUUUUUUGAAGGUAUGAUAGUCUUUAGAAUGGUAUACUGUUUUUAUCUCUAAUAUGACAUCAAGUUGUAUACCUAAAGUAUCAAAUAAUACUUUUUUAUCUUUGUGAACUUUCUUUAGUGCAAAUCAAGAUCUAUUCAAUAAAGUAAAUUCAUGUAC